rnacentral:rRNA from 1 species
CACAAGCGGAGGAGCAUGUGGUUUAAUUCGAUGAUACGCGAGGAACCGUUACCUGGGCUCGAACGUAAGAUGACUGUAGGUGAAAGCUUACAUCUCUUCGGAGCAUUUUACGAGGUGCUGCAUGGUUGUCGUCAGCUCGUGCCGUGAGGUGUCGGGUUAAGUCCCAUAACGAGCGCAACCCUACCUUUAGUUGCCAUCAGGUAAUGCUGGGGACUCUAAAGGAACUGCCUACGCAAGUAGUGAGGAAGGCGGGGAUGACGUCAAAUCAGCACGGCCCUUACGUCCAGGGCUACACACGUGCUACAAUGGCCGAUACAGAGGGCAGCUACCUGGUGACAGGAUGCAAAUCUCCAAAGUCGGUCUCAGUUCGGAUCGGAGUCUGCAACCCGACUCCGUGAAGUUGGAUUCGCUAGUAAUCGCGCAUCAGCCAUGGCGCGGUGAAUACGUUCCCGGGCCUU